UGCUGCACAUCUAGAACUAGGAUAUCACCAAGCAAGGGACACUGUGUGUGCCAACAAUGGUAUAAAGGUUCUUUUGCAUCUUCUCCAUCCUAGGAUAUUUACACCUCCAGCUUCUCUUGACUGCCUACGCGCUCUAGCAUGCCGAGUCCUGAUUGGUUUAGCCAGAGACAAUACAAUUGAACACAUAUUAACAAAACUUUAGUGUGACUUGCAUCCUAAUAUGGGCCACGUAUAAUCAGAAUCCUUCCUAUCCUCAGUGCAAGCAUCUGUUUCAGUUUCUCAGUGUUCAUCGAUCACCAGAUGGAAGGUGUUCCUAUCAAUUUUAGAGAAGUUCUUCUCUAAGUUUCUGAACUUGCCUGAUGUAAAUAGGAGGUUGAGGAAGAUCAUCUCCAUCCUCUCAAGCGACCAGCCUCCCUGCCCUCAGCUGUAUCUGUACAGCACGGCUGACAAGGUCAUUCCAGCUUGGUCGGCAGAGUCUUUUAUUCAGGAGGAGAAGAAAUCUGGGAGAAAGGUGAAACCGAAUGCAAUGGUUAAGGACACAGCAUUCUUGGGGGCAUCGCUCUCUGAUCAUCUCAAACCUGACUUCAAUCCUUUUAUCAUGAAGAAACCCCAAAUUGAAACUAAUACAAAAUUGGAUUAGUCCCAUCUUGUAGGUAAGUGGUUGGUCAAUCAUUUGUUGUCUUGCUCAGGCCUUGACAAAUGAAUGGGCUAGGUUGCAGGGCCUGCUAUGCAUCCAUACACAUCCAUAUGCAUUUCCUUUCUUGUUUGAGAGUUUCAUUUCAUGUCUUGCAGCCAACAGGCUAGAGCUACCUGUUGAGGUUGCAAGGGCCUGCUACGCAUAAUUUAAAUGGAGAAUGCUGGUAGAGGCAAUGAUGACGUUGGCCUGGAAGCAGCAAAAGAUGGACAGGCAGUGUUAUCUCAGGAUCAGCCAAGCACGACGGCA